UCCUGAGCUGCUCCAUAUUAGAGUCUGCUGAUGUCAGAAGCCUGCUAACUUGCAAACUGGUCUGAGAUGACAGGAACAGCUGCAGUACCUACAGUUUCCAGGAUCCGCUCUCUGAUCACGCAGUAUUGCAGCUCCAGAAGAUUAGGGCUGAGCAUACCUUCCAGAUGCUCAAUAUCUAGCACACAGUGGGCUUGAUCAAACCACACUGAAGUCAAUGGGAAACUUUCAAUUGACUUCAAUGGAGACUGGAGCAAGCCCUUUAGGAGCAGUCCCCGUACUCAGGUGGGCCAAUCCUAACAGGAAGAGGCAAUACAGACUAAGGAAGCUUAAAUCCAGAUGCUUAUUAUCUAUUCACUGCACCCAAACAUCAUCUGUAUACAAGAACAAAACAAAUGCAAGAAGCCCCUGGGAACUGAAACCAAUGUUGAUGGACACUAGUUCUAAGAUCAACAGGCAUCAGACCAUCCCAGCCAUCAUUGCUGAUGAGGCUCCAGAUCAAGACUGGAUCACUGAGAAUUGCUUGGCUGACACUGCAAACCUUGUGUUGGCUCCCGUUGGCUCUCCCUGCCCCCCACCCCUUGCCCGAGCUUAUUCAACAUACCACAAGGCAGGCGUGGACCAGAGCAGAGUAGCAUUCAUAUUGUCAUUCCAAAUCACUGUGGAAGUGGCACCCCAGGAAAUACCAAAUCCUUCAAACUAUUCCAUUUUGCACAUGAAACCAGAGCCAGAGCUAAAGCCAACAUGGACUUUCUACUCAUCUAUAGAUGCAGAAGACCGCAGUUUCAUAAAGGAGCUGUCUGAGAUGCUAUCAGCAAUAGCGGUGAUACCCCUGAGACUCAUCUUCCCAGCCAUGUUGACAAGGCCUCAGAUGUAAAACACCUGAACACAUUUCCUCUUUCUCCAUGUUAGGACUCUCUCGUGUCAUCUCCAGUCCAACCUACAUAGCCAGCCACAUCUUCAGCCUGCUCUUCACACUAAAUGUCAUCACAGAGAACAUCACACAGUAUGGCCCUAUCUUAAACAACCUCCUCAUUCUGUCAGCAGUCUGAGCUCUCCCCCCAUUCAGACAACAGGAAGGCUCAUGGACCUCACUACAUGCUAAAACAUGCUUCAGGACAGAAGCAGCCUCCCAACAGGCUGAGGAGUUGCAUCACUAAUAAGUCAUUAUGUCCACAUGCACUAGUUACUACCACUGACACCUUGGAUCUCAGACAACCCCCUCCUCGCUGUUGCCCACACAUAUCCCAGUGGUCCUUCCUUGGGAUAGAUGAAGAGAGAAGGGAACUUGAGUGCCAAUGACAAAAAAAUUGGUUUGAAGCAUACAGAUUAAAACAGGAAGAAUUUCUACAGGCCUCUGGUGAAGCUGUAGGAUACUCCAAUCAUGGCAGAAUCCAGCACCACUUGAUACGAGGAGAUUUAAACCUUCUUCACUAGAAGAGGCCACCCACAUGCAGGAAAGGGGCUCCAGAUAAUCUCUUCAAGGCUGGGGGCAGGAAAGGGGCAUGGUACAUCCUUCUCCCACCUACCAUUUCCCUCCCUACCCAGGCCCAGCUACUCUUUGCCCCAGGCCACCUACAGCUGCUAUACAGAGCCCAGUCCUUCAGACCAUGGAGCCACAAGAAGGGAUGACAUUCCAAUGAAGAUGACUCCUCACUUCUGCAUGGGUCCUGUAGCAUGAUCUGGUUCUUGAUCCUAUGCUCCUUACUCAGGCAACUGAGUCUCAAUGGAAGUUUUGCCUAAUUAAGGAGUGAAGUAGGGCCAAACCUCUCAUAAUCUUUUUUUUUUUUAAAGACUCUGCUUUGUGUUUUCAAGAGUACCAGACCUUAACAUUUACAACAAGGGGGCAAGAGAAAUGAAAUGUGAAAAGAGAAAUCUCUACCAAACUUCUGCAGAUUGUGGAGGAAUAUCACUGCUGAGGGAGGGAAAAAAUCUAUCAAGAAGCCAUGUUCUCCAGAGAUUCCAGCCUUACCACUAGCCUUUUCCAUUCUUUUGUAUCUGACGUAUGAUGACUCAUCAGGGGACACAGUUUAAAUGUACAGAGACAGAAUUUGAACUACAAUGCUAUUUCCCCACCCUUCCAUGUGUUCAAAGACUGGUCUGUGCAGUUGUUCUUCCUCCCUACCUCCACCUUCCCAAAAUAAGGUGAGAAGGCAGGGACUGGAUGGCACGGGAGAGUGGCCACUGGCUAUACAGUCUUUCACUUAUAAGCUACUAACUCAACUUCACCUCAGCUAGGGUUAAGUGAAAUUCAUUACAAUCUGAUAGCUAUUUAUCAGUCUAUAAAAAACAAGUUGAUGUUCUCAAUAGAGUUUCUUAGGAUACCGGUGUGUGCACACGACAAAACAAACCACCUGAAAUAACAUUAAUAUACACCCUCUUUGGAAGUCUCAGAGGACUAAGAGGUGUCUAUCCUAAGAACAAAGGGUGUUUCUGCAACCUAAUAGCUAAUAUUAUAUGCUAUAGUGUACAGAUAUAACUAUAUGGGAAAAGUGUAGAUAGGACAAGUUGUAGUUUUUAACCUUGAUAUAGCAGGUUGCCUACAGUUCAUCUGAACUAGCAAAAUUGAGGUAGAACAAGUGCAUCCUUUGCUCAUCUGUGUUAGGAUUUUACAAUGUGUUAGCUAUCACACAUCUUUCUUCUAGCAUAAGCCUACUCUAAACAGUCAUGGAGAGUCAGUGAUGCUCUCCUCCGUAGGGGCCAUCACUCUUGCCCAGAGAGCAGUACAAAUGGAAGAAUAAUGUAGGAAAACUCGCACUGUCACUUGACCUGUUCUGUGGGUAAACAGAGGAUUCCAAAGGUGGGGUUCCAAAAAGAACCAGAUAAGUUCAUGGAGGAUAGGUCCAC